GUGAAAAGCACUUCGAACAGAAGAGUGAAAUAGUCCCUGAACCCAUACGCCUACAAGCUGUCGGAGCCGCUUCGUGCGGUGACGGCGUGCCUUUUGCAUAAUGAGCCUACGAGUUACUCAUCACCAGCGAGGUUAAGUACUUCAGGUACGUAAGCCGAAGCGAAAGCGAGUCUGAAUAGGGCGUCAAGUUGGUGGUGGUAGACGCGAAACCUUAGUGAUCUACCCAUGGGCAGGGUGAAGGUUUGGUAACACAAACUGGAGGCCCGAACCGGUAAACGUUGAAAAGUUUUCGGAUGACCUGUGGGUAGGGGUGAAAGGCCAAUCAAACUGGGAAAUAGCUCGUACUCUCCGAAAUGCAUUUAGGUGCAGCCUCUGUUGUUUUGUUCUAGAGGUAGAGCUACUGAUUGGAUGCGAGGGCUUCACCGCCUAUCAAAUCCGGCCAAACUCCGAAUGCUAGAACAUGAAGACAGGGAGUGAGCCAGCGGGUGCUAAGGUCCGUUGACGAAAGAGGGAGAACUCAGACCAUCAGCUAAGGUCCCCAAUUGUAUGCUAAGUUGGAAUUAAAACGGGGUGGGACUGCUUAGACAGCUAGGAUGUUGGCUUGGAAGCAGCCAUUCAUUUAAAGAGUGCGUAACAGCUCACUAGUCGAGCGGUCCUGCAUGGAUAAUACGCGGGCAUAAGCAUAUAACCGAAGCUAUGGGAUUGUAGAUGAUACAAUCGGUAGGAGAGCAUUCCAUUCAGCGUAGAAGCAGUAUCGUGAGGUAUUGUGGAGCGGAUGGAAAAGCAAAUGUAGGCAUAAGUAACGAUAAUGCGGGUGAGAACCCCGCACGCCGAAAGAUCAAGGAUUCCCCGGCAAUGUCAAUCAUCCGGGGGUAAGUCGGAUCCUAAGGGUAAGCCGAGUGGCGAUCCCGAUGGCAAACAGGUUAAUAUUCCUGUACUGAUCAUAACUGCGAUGCAGCGACGCAGAGGUGACACUGCUGCGUACUGACGGAAUAGUACGUUGAAACCCGUAUUCUUUGAUACCGGUAGUGAAGCACGCCGGUAGAGAUGAAAGGUGAUAGUACCGCAAUGCUUCGGUUGCGCGGAUAACGCAGGUAAGCUGACUGCCAAGAAAACCUGCUAAGCUUCAGGUAAUGAUCAUCCGUACUGUAAACGGACACACGUGAUCAGGUAGAAAAUACUAAGGCGCUGAGAGAUUCAUGGUUAAGGAACUAGGCAAAAUGGUCCUGUAACUUCGGGAUAAAGGACGCUCUUGUGAAAGAGCCGCAGAUAAUAGGCCCAGGCGACUGUUUACCAAAAACACAUGGCUAUGCUAAUUCGCAAGAAGAUGUAUAUGGCCUGACACCUGCCCGGUGCCGGAAGGUUAAGAGGAGAGCUCAGAGGCAACUCGAAGGUUUGAAUUGAAGCCCCGGUAAACGGCGGCCGUAACUAUAACGGUCCUAAGGUAGCGAAAUUCCUUGUCGGGUAAGUUCCGACCUGCACGAAUGGUGUAACGAUCUGGGUACUGUCUCAACCAUGAGCUCGGUGAAAUUGUAGUUCCGGUGAAGAUGCCGGAUACCCGCAACGGGACGGAAAGACCCCGUGAACCUUUACUGCAGCUUUGCAUUGAUUUUGGGUAACAGAUGUGUAGGAUAGGUCGGAGGCUUUGAUGCUGCGUCGUCAGGCGUAGAGUAGCCGUCGUUGAAAUACGACCCUUUUGUUAUCUGAGGUCUAAUCCCGUUAGGGAGACAUUGCAUGGUGGGUAGUUUGACUGGGGUGGUCGCCUCCAAAAGUGUAACGGAGGCUUCUCAAGGUACCCUCAAGGCGUUUGGUAAUCGUCUGCAGAGUGCAAUGGCAUAAGGGUGCUUGACUGUGAGACCGACACGUCGAUCAGGUUGGAAACAAGAGCAUAGUGAUCCGGUGGUUCCGCAUGGAAGGGCCAUCG
rnacentral:rRNA from 1 species